rnacentral:rRNA from 1 species
UACGAAGGGGGCUAGCGUUGCUCGGAAUCACUGGGCGUAAAGGGUGCGUAGGCGGGUCUUUAAGUCAGGGGUGAAAUCCUGGAGCUCAACUCCAGAACUGCCUUUGAUACUGAAGAUCUUGAGUUCGGGAGAGGUGAGUGGAACUGCGAGUGUAGAGGUGAAAUUCGUAGAUAUUCGCAAGAACACCAGUGGCGAAGGCGGCUCACUGGCCCGAUACUGACGCUGAUGCACGAAAGCGUGGGGAGCGAACAGG